GUGGGGCUGGGGCAGCGCGGGGAGGGGGCGCGGCGCGGGCCGCCCUGCGCAGGAAACGAAAGCGGCCGAGCGGCCGGGGCGGGCCGAGCGGAGCCGAGCCGAGAGCGUUGGCCUGGGCCCCAUGGCGGCCGCGGAGGCCGCGCCUGCGGAGGCGACACUGGAUCCUAGCGGGCUCUCCCCGAAGGAAGAAGGGGAGCUGGAAGACGGCGAAAUCAGCGACGAUGACAACAACGGCUUCAGGCCCGGCGGCGGCGGUGGCUCUGAGCCAGGCGGCAGCCUCGUCAGCAGCAGGCCCUACUCGAGGCGCAGGCCGCCUGCCGGCCUCCGCGGGGGCGCCUCCCUCUGCUCCUCCGGCCAGCGCUUCCCCCGCUCGCGGCACCAGCCCCCACCGGAGAUGGGGCACCUGCACGGCCACGGCGGGUACCGGCCCAAGGACUCGUUCCGCUCCCACCCGCCGCCCAUGCCGGCGCCGCGGAUGCAGUCGGGCUCGCACUCCGAGACGGGCCCCCGGCUCUCCUUCUGGGAGCGCAGCCACAAUGCCUUGGACCGAUUCCGCUUCCGAGGCCGGCCGUACGGGGGCGGAGGGUGGUGGGGCAGGAGCCGAGGCGGCGGCGAUCGGGGAGGCAACCCUCCGGGAAGGCCGCCCGGAGGGGGAGGUGGUGCCGGAUUCAGUGGCAGCCAGGGCUGGAGGGAGCCCUCGCCUCGGAAAUCCAAAACUUUUGGAAGGUCCCCCUCUAGAAAGCAGAACUACUCUUCUAAAAAUGAAAACUCCGUGGAAGAAAGUUUUGAGGAUCUGCUCUUGAAGUAUAAGCAGAUACAAUUAGAGCUUGAAUGCAUUAAUAAAGAUGAAAGACUGGCUUUGAGCAACAAGGAGGAAAGUGAACAGCAAGAUGAUGAUAAAAAAGUGGACACUGAGGACCAAAAAACUGUAGAAAAUAACAGUAUUACAACGGAUGCUAUAAAAGAAGUAUCUCCUGAGGAGAAAAAUCCGGUUGUAGCCUUUCAGGCAUUUGAACUGAAACCUCUCAGACAGAAACUGACUACUCCAGCUGAGAGGAGCAGAUUAAAAAAAGGCAAAGAAGGAACAAAGCAGCCAUCACAAAAAUCUGAAGUCACAGAAUCUGGCCAAGGUGCAGAAGACAAGGAACAAACAUCAGUGCGGAAGCUUAGCAAUUCAGAUGUUACAUCUGAAAAGAAGCUGCUUGAUGAUGAGGAGGAGAUGUCUGAAUUGCAACUUAGGCUUCUUGCACUUCAGUCUGCUAGUAAAAAAUGGCAACAAAAAGAACAACAGGUGAUGAAGGAAAGCAAGGAGAAAUUAACAAAAACGAAAAGUGUAACCCCGAAAGUCAAAGCCAGUACAAAAGCACAUUCAACAAAAAAACCUAGUGCUACAGGCAAGCAAACUUUGAGGAAACAACAGACAAAGACAUCAAAGAAGAUGCAACAGCAAAAGGAGCUAGACAGGCGUCAGAAAGAGGAAGAUCAGAGGAAACAAGAAGAGGAAGAGGAGAGAAGAAAGAGAGAAGAAGAAAUCAGAAAAAUCAGGGACCUCUCAAAUCAAGAAGAGCAGUACAAUCGAUUUAUGAAGCUAGUUGGAGGAAAGAGGAGAUCGAGAAGCAGGUCUUCAGAUACAGACUUGAGAUGGUCUUUGGAUAAGCAGUCUACAGAUAGGGCAGGAGGCAUGUAUCAAUAUGAUAAUUAUGAUGAAGUUGCUAUGGAUACAGAUAGUGAAACUAACUCUCCAGCAUCUUCUCCAGUGCAGCCUCCUUUCUAUGAGUGUCCCAUAGGAUAUUUUCCACCUCCAGUACCACCAAUUUCCUUGCCACUGCCACCUCCAGUUCUACCUGUACCAUCUUUGAGCCAACUUUAUGUGGAGGGUAUUUCUUGUCUUUCUCUUGAGCCACCUCCACCUCUUCCACCUCUUCCCCCUGAAGAACCUGAACAGCCACCAAAGCCUCCAUUUGCAGAUGAGGAAGAGGAAGAGGAGAUGCUCUUAAGAGAAGAAUUACUCAAGUCUCUAGCCAACAAACGAGCUUUCAGAUCUGAGGAAACCUCAAGUAACAGUGGUCCACCUUCCCCUCCUGUUCCAGAUAAUUUGCAGUCUGUGCCAAGAAGUAAUCUCUCCGCUGUCAGUAUUAACACUGUGUCUCAUCCACGGGUACAAAAUACAAAGUUUGUUAGAGUACCCAGGCCUCCAAGAGCAGUGAUCACACUUCCAAAACACAAGUCUGUUGUGGUCACAUUAAAUGAUUCAGAUGAUAGCGAGUCUGAUGGAGAGCCCUCUAACUCCACUAACAGUGUAUUUGGAGGUCUGGAAUCUAUGAUAAAAGAAGCAAGGAGAAAUGUUGAGGCCUCAAAAAUCAAAGCCCCUCCAAAAUCAGAAAAAGAAAAUGAUCCAAUGAGAACUCCAGAAGCUUUACCAGAAGAGAAGAAGAUAGAAUACAGGCUCUUAAAAGAAGAGAUUGCCAGUCGUGAGAAGCAACGCUUAAUUAAAUCUGAUCCUUUGAGGAACAAUUCUUCCCCUGCAAAUUCUGAUGGUGAAGUUGAUGGAGUUGGGAGAAUAGCAGUAGUGACAAAACAAGUUACAGAAGCAGAAGCAAAGCUUGAGAAAAACAGACUUCUAUUGAUGAAAGAUGAAUCUGUCCUGAAACAUUUAUUGCAACAAGAGGCCAAAAAAAGAGAGAAUGUUCGAAUUGCUGAAAAUAAGAUUAACAAGCUGGCGGAACAACUGCAAGCAACAGAGAAGAUUUUGAAUGCUAACAAGAUGUUUCUCAAGAAGCUUCAGGAACAAAUUCAUAAAAUUCAACAACGAGUUACAGUAAAAAAAGCUCUGGCAUUAAAAUAUGGGGAAGAACUUGCUCGAGCAAAAGCAGUAGCAAGUAAGGAAAUUGGGAAAAGAAAACUGGAGCAACAUCAUCUUGGACCAAGCAAAAUGUUGAAAUUGGAGACCUCGCCUGCGUCAAGUCCAAAAAAGCAUUCGGCGGAAUUGAUUGCACUAGAGAAAAAGCGGCUACAGCAACUGGAGUAUGAGUAUGCUCUGAAGAUUCAGAAACUUAAGGAGGCCCGCGCACUUCAAACUAAGGAACAAUCAAAUAUUGCACCUCAUGCAGAAGAGGAAUCUGACUUUUCAUUACCUCAGCCAUCGCUUCAUGAUCUUACACAAGAUAAAUUGUCUUUGGACAGUGAGGAAAACUACUUUGAUGAUGAAGUUCUGUCUAAUUCAAACCGAGAACGAAGGAGGUCUUUCAGAGAAUCUAAUUCUUUUACUAAACCAAAUCUUAAACACAUGGACACUCCAAAACAAGAAACUAUAAACAAACUUUCUAAAAAGGCAUCAGAGGAGCCUGAGUUGUUCCUUGGGUUAAAUGUUGAUGAACUGAAAAAACUUUAUGCUAAAGCUGACAGCUUGAAAGAGCUGCUGCAGAAAAGUACUGCCUCUAUAGUACCCAAGGAAGAUCUGUUAUGUGGUCAGGAAAUUUCAGUGGAUAUGGAUUUUGUUACGUCGCAAAAUAAACAAACUGAAGUGAAACCAUUUCCAUUUGGACCGUAUCAUAGUCCUCUUCUAGUAUUUAAAUCCUACAGGUUUAGUCCGUAUUUUCGAACUAAGGAAAAACUGUACCUCAGUUCAGUAACAUAUAGCAAUAUGAUUGAGCCAAAACAGUGUUUCUGCCGUUUUGAUUUAACAGGCACAUGUAAUGAUGAUGACUGCCAGUGGCAGCACAUGAAAGACUGCACUCUUAGCCGCACGCAACUGUUUCAAGAUAUUCUAUCUUACGAUUUAGAACUGAUUGGCUGUUCAGAAAAAAGCACUGAUGAGGAAAUCAGCACUGCCACAGAAAAAUAUGUUGAAAAACUUUUUGGUAUAAACAGAGACCGUAUGUCAGUGGAUCAGAUGGCUGUUCUUCUGGCCAGUAAUGUCAAUGAGAGUAAAAGUCACACACCUCCAUUUACAACGUGGAAAGAUAAAAGGAAAUGGAGACCAAAGUACUGGAGAAAACCUCUGUUAGAUAGUAGCAGCGGUGAAGAGGAACAGUGUGGUGGACCUAUUAAAUAUGCCAAUCCCACAGAACAUAAAAAAAGAAUCCCGGCUCUUGAUGCUGUGGUGACUCCAGAUGACGUCCGGUAUUUCACAAGUGAGACUGAUGACAUUUCCAACUUGGAGGCAAGUGUUCAAGAAAACCCCUGUGAUGUACAGCUUUGGAUUAAACUUGCAUACAAAUACUUGAAUCAAAAUGAAGGGUCAUCAUCUGAGUGUUUAGAUUCUACUUUAAAUGUUUUGGCUCGAGCCCUUGAGAACAACAAAGAAAACCCUGAAAUUUGGUGUCAUUACCUCAGACUCUUCUCAAAAAGAGGAACCAAGGAGGAGAUACAGGAAAUGUGUGAAACAGCAGUAGAAUAUGCUGCCUCUUACCAAAUCUGGUGGACAUUUUUGAAUUUGGAGAAUUCCUUUGAUGGAAAAGACUAUGUAUGUGGGAGGAUGCUGCAGUUCCUAAUGGAAGUGAGAGAAGAAAAUCCAAAUCUUGUGUCCUUUCAGCUGCUGGAGACUCUCCUGUACAGGGUCCACUUAAGCCUGUUUACAGGAAGACAUCAGAAUGCUCUUGUUCUGCUGCAGAAUGCUUUAAAAUCAGCAAGUGAAAAAACAAUAUCAAAACACCUUGUUGUAAGUGACCGUUGCUUGGCUUGGCUGGCUUACAUACAUCUGACUGAAUUCGGCUGUCUCCCAGGCAAGUUCUAUGAUCCAGCCAAUGUCAGUCCUUCAAGGAUGAUGAACAAAGAGCCAUUUUUAAUACCAUGGCAAACAGCUGAAGAUGUGAAGACUGAUCCUGAUAUGCUAUUAGCUAUGUUUGAAGAUGCAGUCAAAACAUGUACUGAUGAAAGCCUUGAGGCUGACAAAAGAAUAGCUAUCUGUUUUCCUCUCUACAAAAACAUGAUAGCUUUGCUGAAACUUCUUGAAAGGUGGGAGUCUGCUGCAGAACGUUGUAGAUCUUUAUUGGAGCUCUGCCCUAACAACUGUCAGCUCUUGGAGAGUUUGGCCACCUUGUAUUUGCAGAUGGGGCAGAGUGACAAUGCUUACGAAGUGUGGAUUGGAGCGUUUGAGAAGAAUCCUCAGAAUGCAGAAAUUUUUUAUCAGUUGUGUAAAUUCCUUGUUUCACAGGAAAGGUCAAGCAGUAUUCUUCCACUGUUGCAAGAAUUUGUGGCAGCUUUCUUUGAGAAUACAUGCCAACAGCACAGUCCCAUGGAUCUCUUAAGAUAUCUCUUGAAUUUUCCAAUGCCAAUUGAAUUUACAUCACCUCUCUAUAAAGAACAUCUUACCGAUGAUGUUGUAAACCAGCAAAUCCCGUAUCUGUGGCAGAUCUACUGUUUAUGCCAGUCUCUUCAUGCAAGUUUUGGUGAAGCACUGGAUGCUUACGAAGCAGCUCUGGGGGCAGUGAUGCAGCAGGAAACUGUUCAGAACAUCUGGCUGGAUUACCUUGUUUUUAUCAAUAGCAAAGUUGUUGGAUCCAACAACAAAGCCCAAGAAUUCAAGCUUUUUACCGACCUAGUGAACAGAUGUCUGGUUACAGUCCCCACACGAUACCCAAUUCCUUUUAGUACUGCUGAUUAUUGGACCAAUUACGAGUUUCAUAAUAAGGUUAUUCUUUUUUAUUUGAGCUGCAUUCCAAAAUCUCAACAUUCCAAAACCUUGGAACGGUUUUGUUCUACCAUGCCUGCUAAUCCUGGACUUGCGCUGAGACUGCUGCUGCAAUACUGGGAGGAGAGCAAUGUUCAAAUUCUGAAACUGCAAGCCAAGAUGUUUACAUAUAAUAUCCCAACAUGCCUGGCCAUCUGGAAAAUGUAAUGCAACAGUCAUACAUCUGUUUUCAUAGAUAUUGCUUUUGUUUAUAAGGUUUACAUCACAAAGAGCCAUUGCUGCCGAAUGCUUUCUAAGGGGACAAAGAGAAGUCCAUCACUUAUAUCAGAGAGCCCUUCAGAAGUUACCUCUAUGUGCAACACUGUGGAAAGAUCAACUCUUGUUUGAAGCAUCAGGAGGAGGUAAAACUGAUAACCUGAGAAAACUAGUUUCCAAGUGCCAAGAGGUUGGAGUCAGCCUAGAUGAGCUUUUAAAUUUAAACACUUACAGAACAGAAAGCAAGAAUCGCUGAACGCUGGGUACGGUCAGCCAUAAGUCCUAUUAAAUGCCAAAAUCAGUUGAAUGAUUCUUCAGGCUGAUCCGUGCCUAAGAUCUGUGUAAGGCAGAUGAGUAUUGCUGAGCAUAUUGAGUCUCCAGUCUGCUCUCCUUCAACCUGGAAACAAUUAACAUGACCCUCCUGUGGAAAAAUGAACUCCCUGUCUGGCCUUGCUUCUGGGCCCUGCCAGAUUCUCAUAACGUCAUGUACGUAAGUAUAGUUAAUCAAAAUGACAGACAUUAUUUUUUUAUGUUUUUAUUUUCUGUUUUCUUUGUUUUGCUGUUCCUGAUUCACUUGACACUCUCGCUGAUGCCUGAGAGAUCUGUGUUUGGGAUUAAUUUACUGGGCCGUGUUUACAGUAAAAAGCAAGUAGUCCAUUUUGGGUUUUUCCUUUUUUAAACCUUUUUUGAGACUUUUUCAUUACAGGAUUUAAAACAAAAGCAGCCGCUCUUAAGGAAAGUGUAACUGCCGUGGCCACAAGUAUGCUUCUUGCACUUGAAGGCUCUAAGAGGGUUGCUUACUGCCCCUUUCUGCAUUGGACUCACGGCAGAGACUAUUAAACUUGAAGAUUAAAGAAACUAUUGCAAAUGCCAGUGCAUCAGAACCUAAGAGUGGUCAAUUAUGUGCAAUUUUUUGUAAAGAAAUUUUAAUUUAUAAUAAAGUUUAACACUUUAAAGAAA